AUUUUAAAAGCCUAAGUACUGUAUCCUUGUUAGAAGAUACAAAGACAAAGACUCAUACGGACUUUGGCUACACCAUCAAAGCUUUGAAAAGCAAGAAGAAGCUUGGUUAGUGUUUUCGAGUCGAAUAUGACUAGAUGUGAUGUGUAUGAUUGAGUAUAAGAAAUUAAACCGCAAUCGGAUCUUAAAAGCCUAAGUAGUGUUUCCAUGUUAGAAAAUACAAAGCCAAAGCCUCAUACGGACUUUAGCUACACCGUUUAAGCUUUGAGAAGCAAGAAGAAGCUUGGUUAGUGUUUUGGAGUGAAAUAUGACUAGAUGUCAUGUGUAUGAGUGAGUAUAACCGCUAGAACCACAACCGAAUUUUAAAAG
rnacentral:sRNA from 1 species